rnacentral:rRNA from 1 species
GACGAACGCUGGCGGCGUGCUUAACACAUGCAAGUCGAACGGUGAACCGGGCUUCGGCCCGGGGAUCAGUGGCGAACGGGUGCGUAACACGUGGGCAACCUGCCCCAGACACUGGGAUAACUCCGGGAAACCGGGGCUAAUACCGGAUACUCUCAGCCGACCGCAUGACCGGCUGAGGAAAGCUCCGGCGGUCUGGGAUGGGCCCGCGGCCUAUCAGCUUGUUGGUGGGGUAACGGCCUACCAAGGCGACGACGGGUAGCUGGUCUGAGAGGACGGCCAGCCACACUGGGACUGAGACACGGCCCAGACUCCUACGGGAGGCAGCAGUGGGGAAUCUUGCACAAUGGGCGCAAGCCUGAUGCAGCGACGCCGCGUGGGGGAUGAAUGCCUUCGGGUUGUAAACCCCUUUCGGCAGGGACGAAGCGAAAGUGACGGUACCUGCAGAAGAAGU